rnacentral:rRNA from 1 species
CCUACGGGUCGCAGCAGUGGGGAAUAUUGCACAAUGGGCGCAAGCCUGAUGCAGCCAUGCCGCGUGUAUGAAGAAGGCCUUCGGGUUGUAAAGUACUUUCAGCGGGGAGGAAGGCGAUAAGGUUAAUAACCUUGCCGAUUGACGUUACCCGCAGAAGAAGCACCGGCUAACUCCGUGCCAGCAGCCGCGGUAAUACGGAGGGUGCAAGCGUUAAUCGGAAUUACUGGGCGUAAAGCGCUCGCAGGCGGUCUGUCAAGUCGGAUGUGAAAUCCCCGGGCUCAACCUGGGAACUGCAUUCGAAACUGGCAGGCUAGAGUCUUGUAGAGGGGGGUAGAAUUCCAGGUGUAGCGGUGAAAUGCGUAGAGAUCUGGAGGAAUACCGGUGGCGAAGGCGGCCCCCUGGACAAAGACUGACGCUCAAGUGCGAAAGCGUGGGGAGCAAACAGGAUUAGAUACCCGUGUAGUC